GGGAUUGUGGCUUAGUGGUAGAGUGCUUGCCUAGCACAUAGGAGGCACUGGGUUCAAACCUCAGCACCA
rnacentral:tRNA from 1 species